GAUGAACGCUGGCGGCGUGCUUAACACAUGCAAGUCGAACGGUGAAGCCAAGCUUGCUUGGUGGUUCAGUGGCGAACGGGUGGGUAACACGUGAGCAACCUGCCCUGGACUCUGGGAUAAGCGCUGUAAACGGCGUCUAGUACUGGAUAUGAGCCUCUUCCGCAUGGUGGGGGUUGGAAAGAUUUUUUGGUCUGGGAUGGGCUCGCGGCUUAUCAGCUUGUUGGUGAGGUAAUGGCUCACCAAGGCGUCGACGGGUAGCCGGCCUGGGAGGGUGACCGGCCACACUGGGACUGAGACACGGACCAGACUCCUACGGGAGGCAGCAGUGGGGAAUAUUGCACAAUGGGCGCAAGCCUGAUGCAGCAACGCCGCGUGAGGGAUGACGGCCUUCGGGUUGUAAACCUCUUUUAGCAGGGAAGAAGCGAAAGUGACGGUACCUGAGGAAAAAGCGCCGGCUAACUACGUG
rnacentral:rRNA from 1 species